CGAAAUUCUCUCCAAAAGAAGAAAGAAAAAUCUCUCUCAAUUCCUUGUCCUAAUCUUGCUCAAUCUCAUAAACUAACCGGUUAAUCUUGAAUUCCUUCCAUAAAACCUCUUCAUUUGGUAUUAGUAAGUUGAUUGGUGAAGUGUUUGUGGAAGCUAAGGUGACAAGCAACUCCCUCUCUCUUGUUUUACUAGACGGUGGUGAACUAGGCGGAGCCGGUGGGGCCCACUACUAGCCAACCAACGAAGUGAUUUCCGCUUUUGUACUACUUUUGUAUUUGGAGUAAGUAUUCAGGCCGCUUUUGUAUGUUAGUGCUUAUGUGUUUCGAUAUGUAUGAAGAGGGUACUUAGACGAGGGUGUACUUUAUCGCACUCGCUCUAAACCCUAAUUUGCACACAUAUUUGUACAUGGCUUAUGUAUAUGAGCAAUUUUGGAACUAAAACCCUUGAGCUGGUGGCUCAGGGUGACUUUUGAAUAAUUUUUGUGAAUUUUGUGAGUUUGAGGUUGAACUCAAUACCUAGAUGGACUAUUCGAGCCGGUUAGGGCUUGGUCGAAGUCAGUCCAACUUGGUUUGAGGUCACCAAGUUUGUGAACCCGAUUCGCUGAGUAUGUGAACCAAUUUUGUGACCCGAGCUUGUGACUCAAGCUCAAGUUUGUGAUUUCGUUCGCCUGGGCAAGUUUGUGAGGUGACUGGCCAGUGAGGGUGAUAAGGUGUUCGGUGGGUGUACAAGUGGAGUUCUACGGACCUUAUGUAUGGUCGACGGAGUGUCGACAGGAGGUCACGCAUGGCAACGACUUGGCUUUGGAGCCACCUGUAUCCUUAUUAUGUGAUGUUACUUUCUGCUUUUGCUUUACUCUUAUUGAGUAACUGUGGUUACGUGACAUUUACGCUUUUGCCCCUGUUUACUUACUAAGCAUAUAGCUUACCCCGUUCCUUUUGUUUUCCUUAGCAGGGGCCGACGCGGGGACUUAUGGGCACUUACACUAGUAUUGGUUUGUCAUAGUUGGACAAUUA
rnacentral:lncRNA from 1 species